ensembl:lncRNA
AAAGGAGCUCAGCUGCAUGCUGCUUCCCUCCAGCCCUGCAAUGGGCAGCCCAAAGUGGGGGUAGAGAGCUUUCUUCUAUAAUGGAUCUAAAUAGAGAUGCCUUGUUCUUCAAACAUGUUGAGGCUGGCCGAGAGCAUCCUUGAUAGGAUGCAGGUGGAGGAGGAUGGGACCAACUGCUGGGAAGGAGCUGGGGCCAACAGUGGAGGCUCAAGGUGCACCUGAGAGGAGAGCUGAGGCGCUGCAGCAGGAACAGCCACCAGCACAUCGCUGCGGAUGGGAGGGAGGAAGGGCAGAGGCAGCACAGUGCCCAGCACCCUCAGGGAUUGGGGUGCACCCGGGGUCAUCCUGUGCUCCUUCCCCCAGCGCUGACAUGGGAACGGCCCCAGUGCAGCCACCCACCGCCGCUCGCUGUGAUCCAGGGUCCUGAGCUGACCUCGCUCUGCUGCACCCACGCAGGGCAGGGAUGGCUGAAUUACUGCUCCCUGCUGCGCUCUGUACAUCCUCCUCCUGGCCGGGUGGCCUCAGGAUCUGUGGGGCUGGAUGGCUGCGUGCUCUCAGGUCAAACAGUAGCUCCAUUUUUUCCCUUGUGAAGGACCAAGAGCUUGCCUGGUUCCAAGGAAGUAGCUGUGGAUUUUAAUUUAAUUUUAUUUUUUCCCUCCUCCGUUCUUCUUUCUGAAUCUUUUUGGGAUUUUGGGCUCUUAAUGAGGAUGCUUGGACCAGCACAGGGUGCAGCCCCAUGCAGAGGGGUGAACGCCUCUGGAGAAGCAAUGGGAGCAGCACACCAAGAGCUGGCAACCGCAGUGCCUUGGGUCUGAAACUGGGAGCUGUGUCCCUUCACAUCGCAUGGCUGCAUCCUCCCCAGCACAUCCCAUAGGGAUUAGGUGGGAUUCUGGGGGGCGCAAGGCCAAACCGCAGUGAGGGGAACGUCAAGAAAGGGAAAAAUGUCACCCUCAGAAACAAUUAAACUGCUUAAUAAAAUCCGUUGCCUCUCGGAGUGCUCGCUGUUCUUUUCCGUUUGCCUUGGCUCAGCCACACUUACAUCAUGGCCCUAUCGCGGUGCUGCCGAGUGGACGGGUUUGAUUGCACAGGAAACCGGCGCUUUGGCAAACUUCUCUGCCCCGGUAAAGCCAGGCCAAGAGCUUAAUGCCUUUGCUUUGCAGAAAAAAAUCUUCCCUGUCCUUUCCCUCUUUCCUUUCUGCAACCCCUUAACCAUCACCCGCCAACUAGGCGGCCACCCCUCGCAUGCCUCCUGCUCCAAAGCGCCUGAGAUGCAGAUUAAUUCCCCUUAAAUCAUGUUGUUUCACGUCCGUGGACCGUGUGUCCCCUCCCACCCUGUAGAGCUGAAGCACUGGAAGGUGCUGUGUGGAAAUGCAA